rnacentral:rRNA from 1 species
AAGAUACCAGCUGGCUGCAACUGUUUAUUAAAAACACAGCACUGUGCAAACACGAAAGUGGACGUAU